AUACGGAGGGUGCGAGCGUUAUUCGGAAUCACUGGGCGUAAAGGACGCGUAGGCGGGUUUGUAAGUCAGGUGUGAAAUCCUACAGCUCAACUGUAGAACUGCACUUGAAACUACAGACCUAGAGUAUGGAAGGGGCAGAUGGAAUUAGUGGUGUAGGGGUAAAAUCCGUAGAUAUCACUAGGAAUACCGAAAGCGAAGGCGAUCUGCUGGGACAUUACUGACGCUGAGGCGUGAAAGCGUGGGGAGCAAACAGGAUUAGAUACCCCAGUAGUCC
rnacentral:rRNA from 1 species